GCUGCAACCAUUUUAAGGCUUUCCUACAAAGAAAUAAAACAAUUUCAGACUGGGGAAUUAAUUUGCUUCUGCAAAUAAUUUUGCUCAGGAAUCCUGUAUAUGGGAGCAAAGAACUCCAGAAUUUACAUAUCUACUCACCCAAAAAAGCUGUGCACAA